UACGUAGGGUGCGAGCGUUGUCCGGAAUUAUUGGGCGUAAAGGGCUCGUAGGCGGUUUGUCGCGUCGGGAGUGAAAUCCACUGGCUUAACUGGUGGCUUGCUUUCGAUACGGGCAGACUGGAGGUAUGCAGGGGAGAACGGAAUUCCUGGUGUAGCGGUGAAAUGCGCAGAUAUCAGGAAGAACACCAAUGGCGAAAGCAGCUUUCUGGGACGGUACUGACGCUGAGACGCGAAAGCGUGGGGAGCGAACAGG
rnacentral:rRNA from 1 species